UACGAACUGUGCAAACGUUAUUCGGAAUCACUGGGCUUAAAGGGUGCGUAGGCGGCUUGUUAAGUAGGGUGUGAAAGCCCCCGGCUCAACCGGGGAAUUGCGCCCUAAACUGGCGAGCUUGAGUGAGAUAGGGGUGUGUGGAACUUCCGGUGGAGCGGUGAAAUGUGUUGAUAUCGGAAGGAACGCCAGUGGCGAAAGCGACACACUGGGUCUCAACUGACGCUGAGGCACGAAAGCCAGGGGAGCAAACGGG
rnacentral:rRNA from 1 species